rnacentral:rRNA from 1 species
CAAAAACAUUGCCUCAAGGCAAUAUUAUUUGAGGUAACUCCUGCCCGGUGACACUAGUUUAACGGCCGCGGUACCUUAACCGUGCAAAGGUAGCAUAAUCAUUUGCCCAUUAAUUGUGGGCUAGAAUGAAUGGAUAAACGAAAUAAAAGCUGUCUCAAUUUAUUUAAUAUAAAUUAACAUCUAAUUGAAGAGUAUUAGAUAAAUUUGAAGGACAAGAAGACCCUAUAGAGCUUCAUUUUUGACCAGUAAUCUAAUAAUCAAAAUUCGGUUGGGGCGACCCAGGAAUAAUAAUCAUCCUUUUUUAUUAAGAUUAAUUAAUCAUAAUAAUGAUCCUAAAAGACUAAAGAACAAGCUACCUUAGGGAUAACAGGCUAAUCCCAUUAAAGAGUCCCUAUUAAUAAUGGGGAUUGGCACCUCGAUGUUGGCUUAGGAUAUCUUCAUGGCGCAAAAGUCAUAAAAGCAGGUUUGUUCAACCUCUAAUUUCCUACGUGAUCU